GUGUCAGCCGCCGCGGUAAUACGUAGGGAGCAAGCGUUGUCCGGAUUCAUUGGGCGUAAAGAGCUCGUAGGCGGUUCAGUAAGUUAGGUGUGAAAGCUCCGGGCUCAACUCGGAGAGGCCACCUGAUACUGCUGUGACUCGAAUCCAGUAGAGGAGUGUGGAAUUUCUGGUGUAGCGGUGAAAUGCGCAGAUAUCAGAAGGAACACCACUAGCGAAGGCAGCACUCUGGGCUGGUAUUGACGCUGAGGAGCGAAAGCAUGGGUAGCAAACAGGAUUAGAAACCCGCGUAGUCC
rnacentral:rRNA from 1 species